GACGGAGGGGGCAAGCGUUGUUCGGAAUUAUUGGGCGUAAAGGGCGCGUAGGCGGCUUUUCAAGUGACGGGUGAAAUCCCUCGGCUUAACCGAGGAACUGCCUGUCAGACUGGAAGGCUUGAGACCGGGAGAGGUGAGUGGAAUUCCCAGUGUAGCGGUGAAAUGCGUAGAUAUUGGGAGGAACACCAGUGGCGAAGGCGGCUCACUGGACCGGAACUGACGCUGAGGCGCGAAAGCGUGGGGAGCAAACAGG
rnacentral:rRNA from 1 species